UAAUGACAAUCGGAACAUGGUCACUACCAUAAGUGGAUGAUAAACAUCUCCAACUCAGACUCAAAGAUAGCGUAGGUGAACAAAGUGAGAUAUCGACAAAACUUAAAGAUUGGCCGGGACAGGGUCUCCUUGUUGCUGAACCAUCGUUUAAAACGCACAGAUUUAACUCGUCUAUAAGCUCCACAAGAUCACUACCAAAUGAAUCAUUGACUGGUGCACCCCAAAGAGAAUGGUGUGCAUUAAAAUCACCUAAAAUUAACACAGGCGCAGGAAGAGAUAGGAUUAAAUUUCUUAAAAUCGGAAUAACAGAUGAAUCUUUGCAAGAAAUGUAUACAGACAGUACUGAAAUAUCCCCAAUUUUUGCAGCUACUGCAUUCAAGUGAUUAUUAUUGUAGGAAGGAAGUGCUAGUGAUGUAAAUAAGUAAUGUUUUUUAAUCAGUAGAGCGGCACCACCCCACCCAUCAUCUCUGUCAUCUCUCAAGACUGAAUAGCCACGAACUCUAAAGUUAUAGCCUGGCUUCAGCCAGGUUUCAGAGACAGCUAUGGCAAAUGGCUGGUGUUGGUUAAUUAAUGUAAUGAGUUCAAUUGUUUUAGACGAAAUGCUUCUACAAUUCCACUGGAGGAUUUGAUCCAUUUUUGAUAAUGUUAUAAAUAGAGACUGACAAGUUGUUAAUUAAAGAAAUGGCAACGGAGUACGGUAAUGCAGAGUUAACUAUAAUAUUAAUCAAUGAAGACAGCAGAUUAUUUAGAUCCUGAGAGGAGACAGAGUUUUGAAGGUGAAGGUGAUUUGGGAGAACUAGCUGUGACAUCUGAGUAUGACUUAGUGAAUGGAAACUGUUUAGAGGCUUCUAGAUAUGAUACUGUGUUAACUGACAUAUAAUGCUUUAUGUUUUUUUGUCGUAUAAAUUCGGGACAGGUUUGUUCAUUUGCUUGAUGUUUCCCUGCACAAUUAAUGCAGGAAACAUCUGUCUUGUCGCAAUUAGAGCCUGAGUGGUCCCCGGUGCAUUUAAAGCACCUGGGUUUGCUUCUGCAUUGAACCCUGGUAUGUCCAAAACGACAACAGUUAAAACACUGAAUUGUUGGGAAUAUGUACUGGUCAACAGGCAGUGAGGAAAAAAAGGAAUAAAUUCGGGGAAGAAGAGUUUGACCAUCGAAUGUAAGGACUACCGUCUGAGUGGGCAACCAUUUAGGGCCUUCAAGUGAUGUAACUUUGCGGCUAAGCCGGCGAGACCGAAUGAUUGGACCAAAGCCUUCAGGAACUCUUAAAUUUCCUACAAUCUCUUCAUGCGACCAUUCGCAGGGAAUGCCUUUGACAAUGCCCAUUUUGGUGAUAUUGUAUGUUGGGAUAGAUAAAACAUAAUCAUGUAAUAUAAUUGGAUUACACAAAAAUGAGUUUGCCGCACCAGGUGUUUUGAAUGUCACUGCCAAUCGAUUUCGCCCUAUUCGUUUAAUGCCAUCAUCCAAAAUAUUUUUUAAAUUAUUUCUAAAUAGAAAAUUCCCAAAUUUGAUGGGGUGAAGAGUGGAGCCAGAGUUGGGAGUUUCUUUUUGUUGGACAUGUACCAGAAAAGGACCUGCAUCCUGAUCCUGGUAAUUGUUUCUGCCUAUUAUAUGGUUAUUCUGUUGAGAAUGUUGGAUCACCGGAGCUGGAGGAGCUUGCGUUAAAAUUUCUUGAAAAGCAGUGGUAAUGUGCAUUUUAGGAGAGGAUUUGGUCUUUAAUAAAUGUUUGUUAAUUUU